rnacentral:rRNA from 1 species
AACGAACGCUGGCGGCAGGCUUAACACAUGCAAGUCGAACGCCCCGCAAGGGGAGUGGCAGACGGGUGAGUAACACGUGGGAACGUGCCCUUCGCUUCGGGAUAGCCUCGGGAAACUGGGAGUAAUACCGAAUACGCCGUAUUGGGAAAGAUUUAUCGGCGAAGGAUCGGCCCGCGUUGGAUUAGCUAGUUGGCGGUGUAAUGGACCACCAAGGCUACGAUCCAUAGCUGGUCUGAGAGGACGACCAGCCACACUGGGACUGAGACACGGCCCAGACUCCUACGGGAGGCAGCAGUGGGGAAUCUUGGACAAUGGGCGCAAGCCUGAUCCAGCCAUGCCGCGUGAGUGAAGAAGGCCUUAGGGUUGUAAAACUCUUUCGCCGGUGAAGAUAAUGACGGUAACCGGAGAAGAAGCCCCGGCUAACUUCGUGCCAGCAGCCGCGGUAAU